GGGGGUGUAGCUCAGAUGGUAGAGCGCGCGCUUAGCAUGCGAGAGAUUCCGGGAUCGAUACCCGGCACCUCCA
rfam:Ciona savignyi cont_26952, whole genome shotgun sequence.